AACGAACGCUGGCGGCGUGCCUAACACAUGCAAGUCGAGCGCGAAAGGGGGGGCAACUCCCCGAGUAGAGCGGCGCACGGGUGAGUAACGCGUGGGUAACCUACCUCCGGGCGGGGGAUAACGACUCGAAAGGGUCGCUAAUACCGCAUGAGACCACGGGGUCUUCGGAUCCCGGGGCCAAAGGCGGCACCGGCUUGCCGGUGCUGUCACCUGGAGAUGGGCCCGCGUCCGAUUAGCUUGUUGGCGGGGUAACGGCCCACCAAGGCUGCGAUCGGUGGCGGGUCUGAGAGGAGGGCCAGCCACAAUGGAACUGGAACACGGUCCAGACUCCUACGGGAGGCAGCAGUGAGGAAUAUUGCGCAAUGGGGGAAACCCUGACGCAGCAACGCCGCGUGGGUGAAGAAGGCCUUCGGGUCGUAAAGCCCUUUCGGACGGGACGAACGCUUCGCGGCGACAACCCGCGAAGUCUGACGGUACCGUAGGAAGAAGCACCGGCUAACUCCGUGCCAGCAGCCGCCGUAACAC
rnacentral:rRNA from 1 species